rnacentral:rRNA from 1 species
GGUUAAUGCUAGCGGUGCGCCUAACACAUGCAAGUCGAGCGGAGAUGAGGUGCUUGCACCUUAUCUUAGCGGCGGACGGGUGAGUAAUGCUUAGGAAUCUGCCUAUUAGUGGGGGACAACAUUCCGAAAGGAAUGCUAAUACCGCAUACGUCCUACGGGAGAAAGCAGGGGAUCUUCGGACCUUGCGCUAAUAGAUGAGCCUAAGUCGGAUUAGCUAGUUGGUGGGGUAAAGGCCUACCAAGGCGACGAUCUGUAGCGGGUCUGAGAGGAUGAUCCGCCACACUGGGACUGAGACGCGGCACAGAGUCAUACGGGAGGCAGCAGUGGGGAAUAUUGGAAAAUGGGGGGAAUCCUGAUCCAGCCAUGCCGCGUGUGUGAAGAAGGCCUUAUGGUUGUAAAACACUUUAAGCGAGGAGGAGGCUACUGAGACUAAUACUCUUGGAUAGUGGACGUUACUCGCAGAAUAAGCACCGGCUAACUCUGUGCCAGCCGCCGCCGUAA